AACCCUUGUCCUUAGUUACCAGCACGUUAUGGUGGGCACUCGUAAGGAGACUGCCGGUGACAACCGGAGGAAGGUGGGGAUGACGUCAAGUCAUCAUGGCCCUUACGGCCUGGGCUACACACGUGCUACAAUGGUCGGUACAAAGGGUUGCCAAGCCGCGAGGUGGAGCUAAUCCCAUAAAACCGAUCGUAGUCCGGAUCGCAGUCUGCAACUCGACUGCGUGAAGUCGGAAUCGCUAGUAAUCGUGAAUCAGAAUGUCACGGUGAAUACGUUCCCGGGCCUU
rnacentral:rRNA from 1 species